UCCCCAAAAUCGAGUCCAUCACAAAUUGGUUCAGGCGAGCCAGGAUCAGUUUGAUCCACUUGAACGAAAUUAGAUGAUGGUACAAUAUUCGGCCCAGCAUUAAGGUGAACAUUUUUAACAUUGGACCCACGUGAUGGAUGUUGAAUAUGCGACCCAUGUGAUUGAUGUUGAAUAUGCGGCCCAUGUGAUACACAAUGUCCAUUUGCAUCAUUAAACCCAUGUGACGUGUUACCAUUAUAGCCUUGCCCAUCAUCAAGAUCAAAUUUGCACACAUUAGACUUGUAAGCAUCUGAACAAAUUCGGCCAG
rnacentral:lncRNA from 1 species